rfam:Thermosinus carboxydivorans Nor1 ctg40, whole genome shotgun sequence.
GGUCAAGCUAGGAAGGGCAUACGGUGGAUGCCUAGGCGCCAAGAGCCGACGAAGGACGCGGUAAGCUGCGAAAAGCCACGGGGAGCCGCAAGCAGGCGUAGAUCCGUGGAUGUCCGAAUGGGGGAACCCGGCGGUGGUAAUGCACCGUCAUCCAUCGGAAGAUGGAAGGGAACCCGGGGAACUGAAACAUCUAAGUACCCGGAGGAAAAGUAAUCAAACGAGAUUCCCUAAGUAGCGGCGAGCGAAAGGGGAGGAGCCCAAACCUAGUUCGACAUUGGACUUUCGACAAUCGAUUUUCGUGGGAGAACGAAAAUCUAAAGCCAAAUGAUACUCGAUAAAAAAUCGAAGGUCAAAAGUCGAAGGUCGAAUGUCGAGCUAGGGGUUGAGGACCAACAUAAGGACUGGCGAGGUCUAGUCGAACUACCUGGAAAGGUAGGCCGCAGAAGGUAAAAGCCCUGUAGGCGAAAGGCUGAGCCAGCCGGUUGGGAUCCAGAGUACCACGGGAUACGUGGAGUCCUGUGGGAAGCAGGGGGGACCACCCUCCAAGGCAAAAUACUCCUUGGCGACCGAUAGCGCAUAGUACCGUGAGGGAAAGGUGAAAAGCACCCCGGGAGGGGAGUGAAAGAGGACCUGAAACCGUAUGUCUACAAGCAGUCGGAGACUAUAAGUCGACGGCGUGCCUAUUGAAGAAUGAACCGGCGAGUUACAGCAGCCAGCGAGGUUAAGCAGAAAAUGCGGAGCCGAAGCGAAAGCGAGUCUGAAGAGGGCGAGAAAGUUGGCUGUUGUAGACCCGAAACCGCAGUGAUCUAUCCAUGGCCAGGGUGAAGCGCAGGUAACAAUGCGUGGAGGCCCGAACCGGUGGGCGUUGAAAAGUCCUCGGAUGAGUUGUGGAUAGGGGUGAAAUGCCAAUCGAACGCGGAGAUAGCUGGUUCUCCCCGAAAUAGCUUUAGGGCUAGCCUCAAGUGUUGAGUGCAGGCGGUAGAGCACUGAUAGGGCUAGGGGCCGUAAGGUUACCGAACCUUGUCAAACUGCGAAUGGCUGCAUUUAGAGCUUGGGAGUCAGACUACGAGUGAUAAGAUCCGUAGUCAAGAGGGAAACAGCCCAGACCAUCAGCUAAGGUCCCGAAUGCCGUGCUAAGUGGCAAAGGAUGUGGCGCUACAAAAACAACCAGGAUGUUGGCUUAGAAGCAGCCAUCAUUCAAAGAGUGCGUAAUAGCUCACUGGUCGAGUGGCGCUGCGCCGAAGAUGUCCGGGGCUAAAGCACGGAACCGAAGCUAUGGAAUUGAGAGGUGCAUCUCACCUCUCAAUUGGUAGGGGAGCGUUCUUACCGGGUAGAAGGUUUACUGGGAGGUAAGCUGGACUGGUAAGAAGUGAGAAUGCCGGUAUGAGUAGCGAAAAGACAGGUGAGAAUCCUGUCCACCGAAAGCCUAAGGGUUCCUGAGCAACGAUCGUCGACUCAGGGUAAGUCGGGACCUAAGCCGAGGCGGAUAAGCGUAGGCGAUGGACAACGGGUAAACAUUCCCGUACCGCCCGAAGUCGUUUGAGCGAAGGAGUGACGCAGGAGGUAGGGCAAGCGCGAGGAUGGAAAGUCGCGUCUAAGCCGGUAGGGUGCAGUGUAGGCAAAUCCGCACUGCGAGAGCCUGAGAGGUGAAGGGGAGCAGAGGGGAGACCCUUGGCGAAGUUGUCUGUGCCAGACUGCCGAGAAAAGCUUCUAGCGAGACGGAGGGCGCCCGUACCGGAAACCGACACAGGUAGGCGGGGAGAGGAUCCUAAGGUGCGCGGGAGAACCCUCGUUAAGGAACUCGGCAAAAUGUCCCCGUAACUUUGGGAGAAGGGGAGCCCAAGCCCGUGAAGGCAGGAAGCGGCCGGAGCGGGAGUGGGUCGCAGAGGAGAGGCCCAAGCGACUGUUUACCACAAACACAGGUGCCUGCUAAAGCGAAAGCUGACGUAUAGGUGCUGACACCUGCCCAGUGCCGGAAGGUUAAGGAAGGGGGUUAGGGGGAAACUCCGAAGCUUUCGACCGAAGCCCCGGUGAACGGCGGCCGUAACUAUAACGGUCCUAAGGUAGCGAAAUUCCUUGUCGGGUAAGUUCCGACCCGCACGAAAGGUGUAACGACUUGGGCACUGUCUCAACGAGGGACCCGGUGAAAUUGAAAUACCUGUGAAGAUGCAGGUUACCCGCGACUGGACAGAAAGACCCCAUGGAGCUUUACUGCAACCUGACAUUGGAUUUUGGUAAAGCAUGUACAGGAUAGGUGGGAGACAGAGAAGCAUGGGCGCAAGCUCGUGUGGAGUCGACGUUGGGAUACCACCCUUGGUUUACUGGAGUUCUAACUGGAGGAGUAACGAACCUCAGGACAGUGUCAGGCGGGCAGUUUGACUGGGGCGGUCGCCUCCGAAAGAGUAACGGAGGCGCCCAAAGGUUCCCUCAGCGCGGAUGGAAAUCGCGCGGAGAGUGUAAAGGCAGAAGGGAGCUUGACUGCGAGACGGACAGGUCGAGCAGGGACGAAAGUCGGGCUUAGUGAUCCGGUGGUACCGAGUGGAAGGGCCAUCGCUCAACGGAUAAAAGCUACCCUGGGGAUAACAGGCUAAUCUCCCCCAAGAGUCCAUAUCGACGGGGAGGUUUGGCACCUCGAUGUCGGCUCAUCACAUCCUGGGGCUGAAGUAGGUCCCAAGGGUUGGGCUGUUCGCCCAUUAAAGUGGUACGUGAGCUGGGUUCAGAACGUCGUGAGACAGUUCGGUCCCUAUCCAUCGCGGGCGUAAGAGACUUGAGAGGAGCUGCUCCUAGUACGAGAGGACCGGAGUGGACGGACCAAUGGUGUACCAGUUAUACCGCCAGGUGUACAGCUGGGUAGCUACGUCCGGAACGGAUAAACGCUGAAAGCAUCUAAGCGUGAAACCGGCCUUAAGAUGAGGUCUCUCACAACGGAAGUUGGUAAGGCCCCUUGUAGAAGACAAGGUAGAUAGGCCAGGAGUGUAAGGCGGGCAACCGCUUGAGCGGACUGGUACUAAUCGGCCGAGGGCUUGACCUA